UGCGUAGGUGACCAGCGUUGUCCGGAUUUACUGGGCGUAAAGAGCGCGCAGGCGGUCGUUCAAGUCGAGUGUGAAAGCCCCCGGCUCAACUGGGGAGGGUCAUUCGAUACUGAUCGACUCGAAGGCAGGAGAGGGAAGCGGAAUUCCCGGUGUAGUGGUGAAAUGCGUAGAUAUCGGGAGGAACACCAGUGGCGAAGGCGGCGUUCUGGACUGUCUCUGACACUGAAGAACGAAAGCCAGGGGAGCAAACGGG
rnacentral:rRNA from 1 species